rnacentral:rRNA from 1 species
GAUGAACGCUGGCGGCGUGCCUAAUACAUGCAAGUCGAGCGAACGGACGAGACGCUUGCUUCUCUGAUGUUAGCGGCGGACGGGUGAGUAACACGUGGAUAACCUACCUAUCAGACUGGGAUCACUUCGGGAAACCGUAGCUAAUACCGGAUAAUCUUUUGCACCGUGUGGUUCAUAAGUGAAAGACGGUCUUGCUGUCACUAAUAGAUGGAUCCGCGCUGCAUUAGCUAGUUGGUAAGGUCACGGCUUACCAAGGCAACGAUGCAUAGCCGACCUGCGUGGGUGAUCGGCCACACGGGAACUGAGACACGGUCCAGACUCCUACGGGAGGCAGCAGUAGGGAAUCGUCCGCAAUGGGCGAAAGCCUGACGGAGCAACGCCGCGUGAGUGAUGAAGGUCUUCGGAGCGUAAAACUCUGUUAUGAGGGAAGAACAUAUGUGGAAGGAACUGUGCACAUCGUGACGGUAACGAAUCAGAAAGCCACGGCUAACUACGUG